rnacentral:rRNA from 1 species
AUUGAACGCUGGCGGCAUGCCUUACACAUGCAAGUCGAACGGCAGCACGGGGCAACCUGGUGGCGAGUGGCGAACGGGUGAGUAAUGCAUCGGAACGUGCCAUUGAGUGGGGGAUAACGUAGCGAAAGUUGCGCUAAUACCGCAUAUUCUGUGAGCAGGAAAGCAGGGGGACCGCAAGGCCUUGCGCUCUUUGAGCGGCCGAUGUCAGAUUAGCUAGUUGGUGAGGUAACGGCUUACCAAGGCGACGAUCUGUAGCGGGUCUGAGAGGAUGAUCCGCCACACUGGAACUGAGACACGGUCCAGACUCCUACGGGAGGCAGCAGUGGGGAAUUUUGGACAAUGGGGGCAACCCUGAUCCAGCCAUGCCGCGUGAGUGAAGAAGGCC